GAUGAACGCUGGCGGCGUGCCUAAUACAUGCAAGUCGAACGAGUUCUCGUUGAUGAUCGGUGCUUGCACCGAGAUUCAACAUGGAACGAGUGGCGGACGGGUGAGUAACACGUGGGUAACCUGCCCUUAAGUGGGGGAUAACAUUUGGAAACAGAUGCUAAUACCGCAUAGAUCCAAGAACCGCAUGGUUCUUGGCUGAAAGAUGGCGUAAGCUAUCGCUUUUGGAUGGACCCGCGGCGUAUUAGCUAGUUGGUGAGGUAAUGGCUCACCAAGGCGAUGAUACGUAGCCGAACUGAGAGGUUGAUCGGCCACAUUGGGACUGAGACACGGCCCAAACUCCUACGGGAGGCAGCAGUAGGGAAUCUUCCACAAUGGACGCAAGUCUGAUGGAGCAACGCCGCGUGAGUGAAGAAGGCUUUCGGGUCGUAAAACUCUGUUGUUGGAGAAGAAUGGUCGGCAGAGUAACUGUUGUCGGCGUGACGGUAUCCAACCAGAAAGCCACGGCUAACUACGUGCCAGCAGCCGCGGUAAUACGUAAGUGGCAAGCGUUAUCCGGAUUUAUUGGGCGUAAAGCGAGCGCAGGCGGUUUUUUAAGUCUGAUGUGAAAGCCCUCGGCUUAACCGAGGAAGCGCAUCGGAAACUGGGAAACUUGAGUGCAGAAGAGGACAGUGGAACUCCAUGUGUAGCGGUGAAAUGCGUAGAUAUAUGGAAGAACACCAGUGGCGAAGGCGGCUGUCUGGUCUGUAACUGACGCUGAGGCUCGAAAGCAUGGGUAGCGAACAGGAUUAGAUACCCUGGUAGUCCAUGCCGUAAACGAUGAAUGCUAGGUGUUGGAGGGUUUCCGCCCUUCAGUGCCGCAGCUAACGCAUUAAGCAUUCCGCCUGGGGAGUACGACCGCAAGGUUGAAACUCAAAGGAAUUGACGGGGGCCCGCACAAGCGGUGGAGCAUGUGGUUUAAUUCGAAGCAACGCGAAGAACCUUACCAGGUCUUGACAUCUUUUGAUCACCUGAGAGAUCAGGCUUCCCCUUCGGGGGCAAAAUGACAGGUGGUGCAUGGUUGUCGUCAGCUCGUGUCGUGAGAUGUUGGGUUAAGUCCCGCAACGAGCGCAACCCUUAUGACUAGUUGCCAGCAUUUAGUUGGGCACUCUAGUAAGACUGCCGGUGACAAACCGGAGGAAGGUGGGGAUGACGUCAAAUCAUCAUGCCCCUUAUGACCUGGGCUACACACGUGCUACAAUGGAUGGUACAACGAGUUGCGAGACCGCGAGGUCAAGCUAAUCUCUUAAAGCCAUUCUCAGUUCGGACUGUAGGCUGCAACUCGCCUACACGAAGUCGGAAUCGCUAGUAAUCGCGGAUCAGCACGCCGCGGUGAAUACGUUCCCGGGCCUUGUACACACCGCCCGUCACACCAUGAGAGUUUGUAACACCCGAAGCCGGUGGCGUAACCCUUUUAGGGAGCGAGCCGUCUAAGGUGGGACAAAUGAUUAGGGUGAAGUCGUAACAAGGUAGCCGUAG
rnacentral:rRNA from 1 species